rnacentral:rRNA from 1 species
UGGGGAAUAUUGCACAAUGGGCGAAAGCCUGAUGCAGCGACGCCGCGUGAGGGAUGACGGCCUUCGGGUUGUAAACCUCUUUCAGCAGGGACGAAGCGCAAGUGACGGUACCUGCAGAAGAAGCACCGGCUAACUACGUGCCAGCAGCCGCGGUAAUACGUAGGGUGCAAGCGUUGUCCGGAAUUACUGGGCGUAAAGAGUUCGUAGGCGGUUUGUCGCGUCGUUUGUGAAAACCAGCAGCUCAACUGCUGGCUUGCAGGCGGUACGGGCAGACUUGAGUACUGCAGGGGAGACUGGAAUUCCUGGUGUAGCGGUGAAAUGUGCAGAUAUCAGGAGGAACACCGGUGGCGAAGGCGGGUCUCUGGGCAGUAACUGACGCUGAGGAACGAAAGCGUGGGUAGCGAACAGG